CAUCGAACCAGGGUCUGUAGUGACGCCUCUAGCACUGAGAUGCAGUGCCUUAGACCGCUGCGCCACUCAGGAGCUUGAAUUUACUAGAGGUAUGAUUUCAAGUGUUGUUGUUGGAAGUUGGUUGAUAUGAUAUAUUGUUUGUUAUUUUUGUCACGUACAGUUGUUGAUAUUGCAUUUUUGUUGGGGAUAGAGGAUAGUGCUCCGUUUUAUUCUGACUAGUGUGUGUGUGUGUGUGUGUGUGUGUGUGUGUGUGUGUGUUGGGUUCUUCUGUUCCUGUAGGGAUCUAAACUCCACAAAUAUUCCAACAAGGAUAGUAAAACAAGGAUACAUUUCCCACAUCCCCAUGAGGACAAAAGCUGUUUAAGGUUAGGGUUAGUAUAAGAGGUUUGGGUUAUGGUGACGAGUUAGGUUAGGGUUAGUAUAAGAGGUUUGGGUUAUGGGUACGAGUUAAGGUUAGGGUUAGUAUAAGAGGUUUGGGUUAUGGUGACGAGUUAAGGUUAGGGUUAGCUCUUAGGGAAAAUAGGAUUUUGAAUGGAAAUACAUUUUAGGUCCCCAUGAGGAUAGAAGAACAUAAGAUGUGUGUGUGUUAUGGGACAUGUCUAAUACAGUCAGUGGAUAGGCUGGAGGGCAGUGCUAUCUUUAUCCUCUCUGCUCCUGAACUGAGCUGGAGGGCAGUGCUAUAUUUAUCCUCUCUGUUCCUGAACUGAGCUGGAGGGCAGUGCUAUAUUUAUCCUCUCUGCUCCUGAACUGAGCUGGAGGGCAGUGCUAUCUUCAUCCUCUCUGUUCCUGAACUGAGCUGGAGGGCAGUGCUAUAUUUAUCCUCUCUGCUCCUGAACUGAGCUGAACUCUCCUGGAAGAUACUAAGACCAGUCAUGUCUGUCACACACACACACACACACACACACACACACACACACACACACACACACACAGUAGGCUCUCCCAGGGAGCCAGACGUGCAUGAUGGAAGGAUGAUUUCCUGCCUCUCUUUCGUGUGUGUGUGUGUGUGUGGGUUGGUCGGUGUGUGUGUCUGUCAGUGGUUCUAUUUGCGUGCUCAUUAGUAGUACCCACCUGCUGUUGAAAUUGUCACCCAGGGGUUGUCAUCGUGGCAGGACGUCACAGUGGAAAAUAUGUCCAGUCAACUACCCAUCCUCACGUGUGUUGUCAUAUCCCACUGUCUGAUUCUUCCAGGUUUCUGACUUAUCCCAUUUAGUUUUUCCCAGCCGUGUAUUUUAGGACUUUGUAUUGGUAAAACGGGAAUUCUUCUUUCGGGAAUUGGAGGGUCGGUUAUUAAUUUUAAAAAGUCACAGGUCACAGGUUAAACAGGUAAGGAUGAGUCAUUGUCUGAAAAGUUGAAAACUAAGAAUCAUAGGAUGCUGUUUUUGUCACCAUCUUCCUCAUCCUCUUCCUUCUCAUGCCUGAUAAAACCAGUGACAUGAUGACUUCCCAUCCAAACUGGAAAUGGAACGUUUUUAGUCAGUUUGUACUUUCCCCGUUGUUAAUGUUAGUUUCUGUAAUACAGCUGUUGUCUUCUCUACUCAAACAUCACCCAGCCCUCUUCUCAGAAGCUGUAAUUUAGUCGUCAUCAAAAACAAAUUGCUGUUUUGUUAUGCAUUUUCCAGACUAUAUCAAGUGUAAAUUUGUUGUGUUUGUGAAGUGUGUGAAAACUAUGCUUUUGUUUUCACACAUUAUUGCAAAACAUUUUUGCUUAAAUGUUCUUUGUUAAGGUGAGCUGUGUAUCAGCCAUCAGACUCACUUUCUUGGAAUAUGGAAACUUUUGGAGCUUAGUGUCUCUGUGGCCAAUGGAUACCUGGCUGCAGGUACAGUACAUGCAGCUGUGCUUGUGUUGUGCUCUUUUGUGGGGGAUCCGAUUCAAGCCAGGCGUGUGUUUGUGGGAGUGGGAUAAUGUGAAUGCAAUGAGGAGGGAGGGUGGAUGAGUCCAUACAGUCAUUGCUGACUGGUUUCAGAAAAUACAUUUGCAGAGAUGGUUUCAAAUGCUACUGUAAGUAAAAUGGAGAAGAGCGAGGGGGGCAUAUAUUCUAUUGUAUGAUGGGCGGUUGGGCAGGGUUACCGUGGUGACCGUUGCCGUGGGGAGUUCUCAGUAUAUUUACACGUUGAUCUCUUUAAAGCUUCUGAUUAAAAAAAAAGACUGAUGACUGUUUGCUUCUUAGAGCUAAAUGAAUUUCUAUUAAAUAUUUUAAAAAGAUUGCUCAAACUGAUUGUGUGCGAUUGUAAUGAUGGAAAUUCAAUAAAAGGUAUUUUUACACAAUAA